rnacentral:rRNA from 11 species
GAUGGACAACAGAUUAAUAUUUCUGUACCUGCUCACGCUAAAAGUGACGGAGGCGAGAAGUUGGUGCGUACAGACGGAAUUGUACGUUGAAGGGAGUGGUAACACCCCGAUAGUACACCGAGACCACGGUCAAGGUGAUAAUCCAGCAUAUCGACUUCCAAGAAAAGCGAGUGAAGCAGCCCGUACCGUAAACCGACACAGGUGGUUGGGAUGAGUAUUCUAAGGCGCUCGAGAGAUUCAUGGCUAAGGAACUAGGCAAAAUCGACCCGUAACUUCGGGAGAAGGGUCGCCCACAUUUAUUUGUGGGCCGCAGUGAAGAGGUCCAGGCGACUGUUUAUCAAAAACACAGGGCUCUGCCAAAUCGAAAGAUGACGUAUAGGGCCUGACACCUGCCCGGUGCCGGAAG